rnacentral:rRNA from 1 species
AAUCAACGCUGGCGGCGUGCCUCAGACAUGCAAGUCGAACGCGAAAAGUUCCCUUCGGGGGAGUGAGUAGAGUGGCGCACGGGUGAGUAACACGUAGGUAAUCUACCUUUGGUAUGGGGAAGUAACAACCGGAAACGGUUGCUAAUACCGCAUAAUGCAGCGGCACCUAAUGGUGACAGUUGUUAAAGACGGGGGAGUCGAAAGACCUCGCGUCUGAAGAGGAGCCUGCGGCGGAUCAGCUAGUUGGUAAGGUAACGGCUUACCAAGGCGACGAUCCGUAGCCGGCCUGAGAGGGCGGUCGGCCACACUGACACUGACAUACGGGUCAGACUCCUACGGGAGGCAGCAGUCGGGAA